GCUGGGAUAGCUCAGUUGGUAGAGCAACGGUUUUGUAAACCGUCGGUCAAGGGUUCGAGUCCCUUUCCCAGCUCCA
rnacentral:tRNA from 1 species